CACGUAGGGGGCAAGCGUUGUCCGGAUUUAUUGGGCGUAAAGAGCUCGUAGGCGGUUCGGUAAGUCGGGUGUGAAACCUCCAGGCUCAACCUGGGAAUUGCAUUCGAGACUGAAUAGCUAGGGUGCGGUAGAGGGAAGCGGAAUUUCCGGUGUAGCGGUGAAAUGCGUAGAUAUCGGAAGGAACAUCAGUGGCGAAAGCGGCUUCCUGGACCAGCACCGACGUUCAGGCACGAAAGCGUGGGGAGCAAACAGG
rnacentral:rRNA from 1 species